UGGGGUUAAACAAGUAGUAAUAUGGAACAACCACUUUGAUGUAGCGAUUAACUUUACUUGUUAGUAUAAUUACUACUCUUAUCUCUUAAUGAGAUUUUACAACUAACUAUUUUGGUCUUUCUCUCCACACACAAACACUCACACACCUA